GAAAACGUUAUGGAGUCAAUGGCUGCCAAGAAGUCCAUUUGCUUUUGGCCAACCAACUUUCUUAACAACUUGCAGCACUCGAUCUUAUGGAUCGGUGAUUUUUAGACUUGGUGUUUUCAAUGGUCUCUUUAAUUAGGCUGGUGAGUAAGCAAAUAAAUUAGCCCAUGCAUGUCUAGCUGCAUAUCGGCUACCCCAUAUUUUUCAUAGAUCGAUGUCAUCAGACCCUGGGACGGACAGCGCUUGGAGAAGGCCGAGGCAGGCAGCCGGCUCCCUCAACUGCAACAGUUAGAAGUCCUCCCUGUCGAUCCCACCACGGACGUGCUCCUCAUGGCAGACCUCCCUCUCGGGCAUUACUACAUGGCUGCUCGGCAGUAUUUGACUGAGCCUACAGCCAACAUGGGAUUCAACCACAGCAAUGCCACGGCAUCCUGCAAUACAGCGAGGACUACAACUUCAUGUCCCGUCCAAUCUUCCCGCACUUUCAGCUUCCUAUGUAUGGAUAUGAAAGCUGGGAAGAAUUUUUACGAAUCUCAGAUUAGAAGCCUGGCGAAUGAGGAUUACCCCAUAAAUGUCCCGCUGGACAUAACCACAAGGAUGUACAUAACAGUCUCUAUGAAUGUGCUCUGCCGAAAUAACACAUCUUGCAGUCCUGACGUUGGGAACAUGCUCGCCACAAGCAUGAACAAUAUCAGCUGGAACAAUCUGCAGGUUGACGUACUCGAAGCCUACUACAGGUCCUCUAUCUAAAUCAUUUUGCUCUUCUUCGCAGGAAAAAUGGUAAUAUCUUGGACUAUACAAGCAUAUAUAUAAAUCUGAACAGUUAUUUUGCUCCUCUGCAUGAAACGUGACCUCUGCUAUGUCGAAUUAAACCAAUGAUCUGUACAAACAUGAUCAUAUAUAUAUAUAUAUAUAUAUAUAAGCAAGGGGAAAUGCCUGUUCCACUGAUUCAGAGGAUAUCGAUGCCGACUCCCCGAAAUAAAUAGCCCCUCUGGAAAUAUAAUAAUAUAAGAUAUAUUCCGUAGAAUCCACAGUUCUAAAGUCGGUAUUUGAUCUUAUGCAGAAACUUGAGUGGAUUUUACACGACAGAUUUUUCGGAUUGGCCAAAGACUACAUAUGAUUUUACUGCAGAAAAUUAUGACGAGAAUGCAGUUAUUACAGAUCAAGGGACAAAGGUAAAGGUUUUGAAUUAUAACGAGUCUGUGGAGAUAGUGUUCCAAGGCACCAGUGUGAUGGGUGGCUCUGUGAAUCACCCGAUGCAUCUGCACGGGCAUAGCUUCUAUGUAGCUGGAAUUGGUUAUGGGAAUUUCAACAAUGAAACGGAUCCAAUAUCAUAUAAUCCGAUUGAUCCUCCCAAAAGUGAACACGUUUGGAUUCCCAAGAAACAGUUGGCUCGCCAUCAGAUUCUUUGCGAACAAUCCUGUGAAUGCAUCCGGAUUUGAGCAGGUGUGUGGUUCUGACUCUGUCACUUGGAUCGACAUAUGACCCGGGGCAUGGACACCGCGUUUAUUGUGAGGGAUGGAGGCACUGAGGAAACGAAUCUCCGCCCGCCUCCUCCGAACAUGCCACGCUGUACCGGUAUGGCAGACAGGUCAAUCAAAAGAUUGAAUGAUGUCAACGAAGGUUCAGCUCAACUCUAAUUUUAUUGUGUCGUCCCAAAUAGUAUAUAGCAUUGUGUCUAAUAAGCGUAUGCAAGCAAGUACAUAUAUGUACGGGGAAACCUGGGUAAUUAAGGGGGGUAUCGAGUUCAAAAUUGAGCAUAUGCUUGUUUCCCUUAAGUAAGAUUUUGGGUUCGAAUUUUGUGAAUGAAAAAAAUUCAUACUGGAAGAGCUUUAUCCC